rnacentral:tRNA from 1 species
AGGUGGGUUGAUGGGCUGCGCUUACAUCGCCAUGGCCGAUUGCGUCGGGGAACGGCCAUUUCUCUGACGUGCGGUGCAGGACCACGCCUUCCUU